GAUGAACGCUAGCUACAGGCUUAACACAUGCAAGUCGAGGGGAAACGACAUCGAAAGCUUGCUUUUGAUGGGCGUCGACCGGCGCACGGGUGAGUAACGCGUAUCCAACCUGCCCACCACUUGGGGAUAACCUUGCGAAAGUAAGACUAAUACCCAAUGACGUCUCUAGAAGACAUCUGAAAGAGAUUAAAGAUUUAUCGGUGAUGGAUGGGGAUGCGUCUGAUUAGCUUGUUGGCGGGGUAACGGCCCACCAAGGCGACGAUCAGUAGGGGUUCUGAGAGGAAGGUCCCCCACAUUGGAACUGAGACACGGUCCAAACUCCUACGGGAGGCAGCAGUGAGGAAUAUUGGUCAAUGGAAGAGAGUCUGAACCAGCCAAGUAGCGUGCAGGAUGACGGCCCUAUGGGUUGUAAACUGCUUUUAUAAGGGAAUAAAGUGAGUCUCGGGAGACUUUUUGCAUGUACCUUAUGAAUAAGGACCGGCUAAUUCCGUG
rnacentral:rRNA from 1 species